GCGGCGGGGCCGGGGAUGCAGCUCCCGGCGGGGCCGGGCGCCCUGGCCGCCCCCCUGCUCUCCAUCCCCGUGGCCUUCGGCAUCACCGGCGCCACCGCCCUGGCGGACAACCCCCCACUGCUGGUGCUGACGGUGACGCUGGUGCUCCUCGGCCUCUUCUCCAUCAUCCUCCUCGUCAGCGGCGUGAGCCACUUCCAGGACCCCCUGUUCUGUGUGUUCGUGGUGCUCUCCUUCGUCUCUGGCGUCGACCUCAUCAUCGCCCUGGAGGAGGAUGGGUUCAUCUCUGGCUUCAUGGAGGUCUAUGUCAGAGAGGGCGAGCCCUACCUGCGCACGGCCCAUGGGAUCAUGAUCUGUUACUGGGAUGGCGUCGUCCACUACGGGCUCUACCUCACCAUGGUCGCGGCCAUCGGCCACAGGAAGAACUACAGGAACCUGGGGCUCUUCUGGUUGGGCUCGCUGCUGAUGAGCGUCGUGGUCUUCCUGCUGGGGAACAUGAUCGGGAAAUACAGCUCCGAGCUCAGCCCCUCCUUCCUGCUCAACCUGCCCUACAUCCUCCUCCUCCUCUGGGCCGGGGUGAGGCUGUUCCAGCAGCCCAAGGAGCCGCUGCUCCUCAGCCCCGAGAAGGUGGCGGAGGAGCAGCGCAAACCCCUGUACCGGCGGCCCCAGGACGCGGCCCUGGUGCUGGUGCUGCUGCUCAUGGCCUCGUUCACCUUCUUCAGGGGGAUGGUGGUUCUGGACUGUCCUGCCGACUCGUGCUUUGAGUACAUCUACCAGCACGAGCCGUACCUGCGCGACCCCGUCGCCUACCCCAAAGUGCAGAUGCUGAUCUACAUGUUCUACGCCCUCCCUUUCUUCCUGCUCUGCAUCUACGGGCUGGUGCUGCCCGGCUGCUCCUGGCUGCCCGACUGGAGCCUGGUGUUUGCCGGGGCCGUGGCACAGGCUCAGUUCUCCCACCUGGGCUCGUCGCUGCACGCCCGGACCCCCUUCCCCUACCAGACCCCCGACGACGUCCUGUGGAGCUUCCUCCUCUCCAACAUCCUCUACGCGCUGGGCCCGCAGCUCCUGGUGCUCCGCUGCCUGCGCUGCCCCGCCUUCUUCCUGCCCCCCGCUCCUGCCGGCCAGCUCCGGGCAAAGAAACACCAGUGACGGGGCCUGCCCGGCCCGGGGGGCUGCUGUGCCCACCCUGGGGGCUGCUCUGCCCACCCUGGGGGCUGCUGUGCCCACCUUGGGGACUGCUCUGC